rnacentral:rRNA from 1 species
GAUCCUGGCUCAGGAUGAACGCUAGCUACAGGCUUAACACAUGCAAGUCGAGGGGAAACGACAUCGAAAGCUUGCUUCCGAUGGGCGUCGACCGGCGCACGGGUGAGUAACGCGUAUCCAACCUGCCCACCACUUGGGGAUAACCUUGCGAAAGUAAGACUAAUACCCAAUGAUAUCUCUAGAAGACAUCUGAAAGAGAUUAAAGAUUUAUCGGUGAUGGAUGGGGAUGUGU